AGAGUUUGAUCCUGGCUCAGAUUGAACGCUGGCGGUAUGCUUAACACAUGCAAGUCGAACGGUAACAGGCCUUCGGGCGCUGACGAGUGGCGGACGGGUGAGUAACGCGUAGGAAUCUGCCUCAUAGUGGGGGACAACUUGGGGAAACUCAAGCUAAUACCGCAUACGCCCUACGGGGGAAAGCGGGGGACCUUCGGGCCUCGCGCUAUGAGAUGAGCCUGCGUUAGAUUAGCUAGUUGGUGGGGUAAAGGCCUACCAAGGCGACGAUCUAUAGCUGGUCUGAGAGGACGAUCAGCCACACUGGGACUGAGACACGGCCCAGACUCCUACGGGAGGCAGCAGUGGGGAAUAUUGGACAAUGGGCGCAAGCCUGAUCCAGCAAUACCGCGUGUGUGAAGAAGGCCUGAGGGUUGUAAAGCACUUUCAAUUGGGAGGAAAACCUGUCGGUCAAUACCCGGCAGCUUGACAUUACCUUUAGAAGAAGCACCGGCUAACUCCGUGCCAGCAGCCGCGGUAAUACGGAGGGUGCGAGCGUUAAUCGGAAUUACUGGGCGUAAAGCGUGCGUAGGCGGUUAUUUAAGUCAGAUGUGAAAGCCCCGGGCUUAACCUGGGAACUGCAUUUGAUACUGGGUAACUAGAGUUUAGUAGAGGAGAGUGGAAUUUCAGGUGUAGCGGUGAAAUGCGUAGAGAUCUGAAGGAACACCAGUGGCGAAGGCGACUCUCUGGACUAAAACUGACGCUGAGGUACGAAAGCGUGGGUAGCAAACAGGAUUAGAUACCCUGGUAGUCCACGCCGUAAACGAUGUCAACUAGCCGUUGGGCCUUUUAACAGGCUUAGUGGCGCAGCUAACGCAUUAAGUUGACCGCCUGGGGAGUACGGGCCGCAAGGGUUAAAACUCAAAUGAAUUGACGGGGGCCCGCACAAGCGG
rnacentral:rRNA from 1 species